CUCUCCUGGAGCCGCUCUGAAGGGUGAACAAUGCGAGCUGGCCGGGAUUGUCGGUUUCAUCAUUAAACAAGCUGGGAGGCGAUUCUUGCAGAGAAAAACCAGAGCAGCCUGCUUGUCAUCUUCAAGCCUUCCAUCUGGGCGCUAGUAUUCCUAGAGGGCGACAGGAUGAACUCGAGAACAGCUCCACACAAAGCGUCUGCAGGGUGUGUGGUCCUCCUCCCUCUCCACUUCCUUCCUGGUGGAGAGUGCCUCUGGGCAGACCUACCUGUCCAAAGGGAAGAAGAGGGAAAACAAUGAAGACUUCAAGGAAAUAAUCAGUCCACCGGACUAAGGGACCUCCUCUACUCUGAGACCAGAAGAACUAGAUGGUGCCCAACUGCCACUACCAACUGUUCUGAUCAAGAGUGCAGAAGGUCUUGGGCAGAAAAGGAGAAAAAUGUAGGACAAAUAUUUAAAUCCUAAAAAGACUAGAUUUCAUAGAGAUGGGUGGGAUCCCUGUGGCAAUGGCCCUUAGACAUGUUUCAGACCUGAGCUGAACCCACCUGUGGGGAUUCCCUUGUAAAAAACAACAAACAGGACUAAAAGGUGAACAAUAACACUCGUGGGGAAUAUACG